rnacentral:rRNA from 1 species
UCCCAUCAGAACUCCGCAGUUAAGCGCGCUUGGGCUAGAGUAGUACUGGGAUGGGUGACCUCUCGGGAAGUCCUAGUGUUGCACCCUC